rnacentral:rRNA from 1 species
AGGCUUGGUCCUGACUUUACUAUCAACUUUAGCCAAAUUUACACAUGCAAGUAUCCGCACCCCUGUGAGAAUGCCCCACAGUUCCCUGCCCGGGAACAAGGAGCCGGUAUCAGGCACACCCACAAGCCCAUGACACCUUGCUUAGCCACACCCUCAAGGGAACUCAGCAGUGAUAAACAUUAAGCCAUAAGUGAAAACUUGACUUAGUUAAAGCUAAGAGGGCCGGUAAAACUCGUGCCAGCCACCGCGGUUAUACGAGAGGCCCAAGUUGAUAGACACCGGCGUAAAGCGUGGUUAAGUUAAAACCCAUACUAAAGCCAAACAUCUUCAAGGCUGUUAUACGCAACCGAAGACAGGAAGUUCAACCACG